UACGUAGGGCGCAAGCGUUGUCCGGAAUUAUUGGGCGUAAAGAGCUCGUAGGCGGUCUGUCGCGUCCGUUGUGAAAACUCGAAGGCUCAACCUCGGGCUUGCAGUGGAUACGGGCAGACUAGAGUGCGGUAGGGGAGACUGGAAUUCCUGGUGUAGCGGUGGAAUGCGCAGAUAUCAGGAGGAACACCGAUGGCGAAGGCAGGUCUCUGGGCCGCAACUGACCGCUGAGGAGCGAAGACAUGGGGAGCGAAC
rnacentral:rRNA from 1 species